rnacentral:ncRNA from 1 species
GAGAGCCGUGUACGCCGAGAGGUGUCCGCACGGUUCGGGAGGGGGAGCAUUGAAACCUACUGGAGAAAUCCGGAAAGGCGCAAUGUCUUCUACCUCAU